rnacentral:lncRNA from 1 species
UGAAGAAUAUCCAAAUAAACCACCAACCGUUAGGUUUUUAUCCAAAAUGUUUCAUCCAAAUGCAUAUGCUUAGACAUCCUGCAGAACCGAUGGAGCCCCACGUACGACGUCUCCUCCAUCUUAACUUCAAUUCAGUCUCUGUUGGAUGAGCCGAAUCCAAACAGUCCGGCCAAUAGCCAAGCAGCACAGCUUUAUCAGGAAAACAAACGGGAGUAUGAGAAGAGGGUUUCGGCCAUUGUUGAGCAGAGCUGGAAUGACUCAUAAUAGACACCUGGUCUGUCCACCUUUC